rnacentral:rRNA from 1 species
UACGUAGGUGACCAGCGUUGUCCGGAUUUACUGGGCGUAAAGAGCGCGCAGGCGGUCGUUCAAGUCGAGUGUGAAAGCCUCCGGCUCAACUGGGGAGGGUCACUUGAUACUGAUCGACUCGAAGGCAGGAGAGGGAAGCGGAAUUCCCGGUGUAGUGGUGAAAUGCGUAGAUAUCGGGAGGAACACCAGUGGCGAAGGCGGCUUCCUGGCCUGUUCUUGACGCUGAGGCGCGAAAGCUAGGGGAGCAAACGGG